UGUGGACAAGCUUCACGGAGAUAAUCAGUAUUUUUGCGAAUCAUGUAGAACAACAGUUGAUGCUACUGGGAGCAUCAACCUUCAUUCUCUCCUUGAAAUUCUUAUUUUUCAGAUCAAGCAUUGUGUUUUCCUCAUGAAGAAGAAAAUGGUGAAAAUGGAGGAGUAGAGACCAGCCUCUCAAAUGCUAGAAGGGAGACAUUUGAAGUGUUUCUGGAAUUAGUUCUAUUUUCUGAGUUGUGUUCUUAUUUUCUGGAUUAUAUUUUGUGUCAAUAAUCCUAGAUAAAAUGAUUUAUUUGGAUUUUAUUUGAAAACUAAAUAAAUCAAUGUGUGUUUCUCUUAUUAUAUUCAAACAAGACUCAAAAGAUGGAACUCUCAAUUUUUGCA